AGUAAACCGACCAAAGUCCCAAGCUAGGAAGCAGCUGGUGCUGGCUGUGAUGCUAAGCUCUGGACAGCCUGCCCCUUGUCAGGAAUCAGACAUGCAGACUACAGCAGCUUGCACUGUGAGCAAAGGAAAUGACAGCUGCAGCGCUGAGUGAUACUCCGUGCUUGGACAUCAUAUUGUCCUCAUCUGGAAUGGAAAGGAGCUUUUCGUACCAGGAGGCCGGCUUCUUGACAAGCACUGUUCAGGAUCUCCAAUGGAGUCCAAACCAGGAAGAACUCCCACGUCUAUUUCUGAAAUCAUGCAGUCCUCUUUUCGCCUUCACGUUCCUUGCUACUUCCACAUUGUCCACGAGAUGGCGCCAGAUACCAAUAGUUGAAGAUGGAAGCGUUGGGCCUAAGAACAGUCACUUAAGCUGCGGAUGGAUCUUGAAAGAAUGUCAACUUUGCCUCUCCUAAUUCUUCUAAAAUAUAUUCUUAGUUGCAUACUAACCCUAUAGGUAGUUUUUUAUAUCCAUAUUUCUGAAGAGCAUAUUCCUGAAUAUAAAUACUACUCAUGAAUAUAUGUUCUAAGCCUCCUAACCUCUCCACUGUCCUAUCUUUUGCCACAGCAGAGAAGGUAGAGACUCAUUAGACAGUCCUCAAAAUUAUGACAUUAAAAACGAAAAUGAAUACAGUCACAUUAAAUUGUUGGUUCACCCUAUAGUUCUGUGGGUGGCCUGCCCUAAGGCUAGGAUGGACAGGCAGUGUGACUGUGCAGGGGAGCUCCAUAGGCCACCCCAGUAUCUUAUCUAUGGAGCAUUGAGGCACUGGCUGUAGGCCACUGCAUUCAGGGUUGCUCUGUGUGCUGGGAGGGACACAAUCUGGGGAUUGGGACCCGAGGGCAGUUAGUGGAACAUGGAGAUCUGUCAGACAUGGGCCCACAGACUUAGAAAGGAACUUUACAUCUAGGAACCAGGCCUGGAGCCUGAAAGGAAAGAGACUGUGGUCUGCAUUCAGGGAAGAGCUGCACAGGUCAGCAGAACAGGUGACAAUGUCUGUCUAAAGGGGACAAAAGCACAGAAAGAUCCCUGUGCUGUCCAAUGCCCAGGCUAGUGGGCCCUGGAUUAAGGACUGAGCAAAGACCGGUAGAGGGCAGGAACCCAGGGCCUCGGAAACCUCAGUGAACUCUCCUUAAGGCUCCUGAGAACCAGAGUGGGUGCAGCACCCUGUCCUUUCACGUUUUAGGUUCUUUUGGUGUUUGUUCAUUCAUUAGUUUGUUCAUUUGUUUGUUUGUUUGCUUGCUUGCUUGCUUGCUUUGGAUAGCUGUCAAUGUGGCCCAAGGCAAAAAGUGUAAGCUUACUGAAAAAGAGAUUUGGUUGUUGC
rnacentral:lncRNA from 1 species